rnacentral:rRNA from 1 species
GAUGAACGCUGGCGGCGUGCCUAAUACAUGCAAGUCGAGCGAAUGGAUUAAGAGCUUGCUCUUAUGAAGUUAGCGGCGGACGGGUGAGUAACACGUGGGUAACCUGCCCAUAAGACUGGGAUAACUCCGGGAAACCGGGGCUAAUACCGGAUAACAUUUUGAACCGCAUGGUUCGAAAUUGAAAGGCGGCUUCGGCUGUCACUUAUGGAUGGACCCGCGUCGCAUUAGCUAGUUGGUGAGGUAACGGCGCACCAAGGCAACGAUGCGUAGCCGACCUGAGAGGAUGAGCGGCCACACUGGGACUGAGACACGGCCCAGAGUCCUACGGGAGGCAGCAGUAGGGAAUCUUCCGCAAUGGACGAAAGUCUGACGGAGCAACGCCGCGUGAGUGAUGAAGGCUUUCGGGUCGUAAAACUCUGUUGUUAGGGAAGAACAAGUGCUAGUUGAAUAAGCUGGCACCUUGACGGUACCUAACCAGAAAGCCACGGCUAACUACGUGCCAGCCGCCGCGGUAA